UACGUAGGGGGCAAGCGUUGUCCGGAAUCAUUGGGCGUAAAGAGCGUGUAGGCGGCCCGAUAAGUCCGCUGUGAAAGUCCAGGGCUCAACCCGGGAACUGCGUCCGAUACUGGCAGGCUUGAAUCCGGGAGAGGGAUGCGGAAUUCCAGGUGUAGCGGUGAAAUGCGUAGAUAUCUGGAGGAACACCGGUGGCGAAGGCGGCAUCCUGGACCGGCAUUGACGCUGAGGCGCGAAAGCCAGGGGAGUAAACGGG
rnacentral:rRNA from 1 species